rnacentral:rRNA from 1 species
AUGGUUAAGUUAGAAAGGGCGCACGGUGGAUGCCUUGGCACUAGGAGCCGAUGAAGGACGGGACGAACACCGAUAUGCUUCGGGGAGAUGUAAGCAAGCUUUGAUCCGGAGAUUUCCGAAUGGGGAAACCCACUGCUCGUAAUGGAGUAGUAUCCAUACUUGAAUACAUAGAGUAUGAGAAGGCAUACCCGGGGAACUGAAACAUCUAAGUACCCGGAGGAAGAGAAAGCAAAUGCGAUUCCCUGAGUAGCGGCGAGCGAAACGGGAACAGCCCAAACCAAGAGGCUUGCCUCUUGGGGUUGUAGGACACUCUAUACGGAGUUACAAAGGAACGAUAUAAGCGAAGAGGUCUGGAAAGGCCCGCCAAAGAAGGUAACAGCCCUGUAACUGAAAUGUUGUUCUCUCCAGAGUGGAUCCUGAGUACGGCGGAACACGUGAAAUUCCGUCGGAAUCCGGGAGGACCAUCUCCCAAGGCUAAAUACUCCCUAGUGACCGAUAGUGAACCAGUACCGUGAGGGAAAGGUGAAAAGCACCCCGGAAGGGGAGUGAAAUAGAUCCUGAAACCGUGUGCCUACAAGUAGUCAGAGCCCGUUAAAGGGUGAUGGCGUGCCUUUUGUAGAAUGAACCGGCGAGUUACGAUCCCGUGCAAGGUUAAGCAGAAGAUGCGGAGCCGCAGCGAAAGCGAGUCUGAAUAGGCCGCAUGAGUACGUGGUCGUAGACCCGAAACCAGGUGAUCUACCCAUGUCCAGGGUGAAGUUCAGGUAACACUGAAUGGAGGCCCGAACCCACGCACGUUGAAAAGUGCGGGGAUGAGGUGUGGGUAGGGGUGAAAUGCCAAUCGAACCUGGAGAUAGCUGGUUCUCUCCGAAAUAGCUUUAGGGCUAGCCUCAAGGUAAGAGUCUCGGAGGUAGAGCACUGAUUGGACUAGGGGCCCCUACCGGGUUACCGAAUUCAGUCAAACUCCGAAUGCCGAUGACUUAUCCUUGGGAGUCAGACUGCGAGUGAUAAGAUCCGUAGUCGAAAGGGAAACAGCCCAGACCGCCAGCUAAGGUCCCAAAGUAUACGUUAAGUGGAAAAGGAUGUGGAGUUGCUUAGACAACCAGGAUGUUGGCUUAGAAGCAGCCACCAUUUAAAGAGUGCGUAAUAGCUCACUGGUCGAGUGACUCUGCGCCGAAAAUGUACCGGGGCUAAACGUAUCACCGAAGCUGCGGACUGUUCUAACGAACAGUGGUAGGAGAGCGUUCUAAGUGCUGUGAAGUCAGACCGGAAGGACUGGUGGAGCGCUUAGAAGUGAGAAUGCCGGUAUGAGUAGCGAAAGACGGGUGAGAAUCCCGUCCACCGAAUGCCUAAGGUUUCCUGAGGAAGGCUCGUCCGCUCAGGGUUAGUCGGGACCUAAGCCGAGGCCGAAAGGCGUAGGCGAUGGACAACAGGUUGAUAUUCCUGUACCACCUCCUCACCAUUUGAGCAAUGGGGGGACGCAGGAGGAUAGGGUAAGCGCGGUAUUGGAUAUCCGCGUCCAAGCAGUUAGGCUGGGAAAUAGGCAAAUCCGUUUCCCGUGAAGGCUGAGCUGUGAUGGCGAGCGAAAUUUAGUAGCGAAGUUCCUGAUUCCACACUGCCAAGAAAAGCCUCUAGCGUGGUGAGAGGUGCCCGUACCGCAAACCGACACAGGUAGGCGAGGAGAGAAUCCUAAGGUGAUCGAGAGAACUCUCGUUAAGGAACUCGGCAAAAUGACCCCGUAACUUCGGGAGAAGGGGUGCUUCUUAGGGUGUUAAAGCCCCGAGAAGCCGCAGUGAAUAGGCCCAGGCGACUGUUUAGCAAAAACACAGGUCUCUGCGAAGCCGUAAGGCGAAGUAUAGGGGCUGACGCCUGCCCGGUGCUGGAAGGUUAAGAGGAGCGCUUAGCGUAAGCGAAGGUGCGAAUUGAAGCCCCAGUAAACGGCGGCCGUAACUAUAACGGUCCUAAGGUAGCGAAAUUCCUUGUCGGGUAAGUUCCGACCCGCACGAAAGGCGCAACGAUCUGGGCACUGUCUCAACGAGAGACUCGGUGAAAUUAUAGUACCUGUGAAGAUGCAGGUUACCCGCGACAGGACGGAAAGACCCCGUGGAGCUUUACUGCAGCCUGAUAUUGAAUGUUGGUACAGCUUGUACAGGAUAGGUAGGAGCCUUGGAAACCGGAGCGCUAGCUUCGGUGGAGGCAUCGGUGGGAUACUACCCUGGCUGUAUUGACCUUCUAACCCGCUGCCCUUAUCGGGCAGGGAGCCAGUGUCAGGUGGGCAGUUUGACUGGGGCGGUCGCCUCCUAAAAUGUAACGGAGGCGCCCAAAGGUUCCCUCAGAAUGGUUGGAAAUCAUUCGCAGAGUGUAAAGGCACAAGGGAGCUUGACUGCGAGACCUACAAGUCGAGCAGGGACGAAAGUCGGGCUUAGUGAUCCGGUGGUUCCGCAUGGAAGGGCCAUCGCUCAACGGAUAAAAGCUACCCCGGGGAUAACAGGCUUAUCUCCCCCAAGAGUCCACAUCGACGGGGAGGUUUGGCACCUCGAUGUCGGCUCAUCGCAUCCUGGGGCUGUAGUCGGUCCCAAGGGUUGGGCUGUUCGCCCAUUAAAGCGGUACGCGAGCUGGGUUCAGAACGUCGUGAGACAGUUCGGUCCCUAUCCGUCGCGGGCGCAGGAAAUUUGAGAGGAGCUGUCCUUAGUACGAGAGGACCGGGAUGGACGCACCGCUCGUGUCCCAGUUGUUCUGCCAAGGGCAUCGCUGGGUAGCUAUGGCGGGACGGAAUAGUGCUGAAAAGCAUUUAAGCAAGAAGCCCCCCUCAAGAGAAGAUUCCCCAUUCCGCAAGGAAGUAAGAUCCCUGAAAGAUGAUCAGGUUGAUAGGUCUGAGGUGGAAGCGUGGUGACACGUGGAGCUGACAGAUACUAAUAGAUCGAGGACUUAACCUAUA